rnacentral:rRNA from 1 species
UACAGAGGGGGCAAGCGUUGUUCGGAAUUACUGGGCGUAAAGGGCGCGUAGGCGGCCUGCUAAGUCGAACGUGAAAUCCCUGGGCUCAACCCAGGAACUGCGUCCGAUACUGGUUGGCUUGAAUCCGGGAGAGGGAUGCGGAAUUCCAGGUGUAGCGGUGAAAUGCGUAGAUAUCGGGAGGAACACCUAUGGCGAAAGCAGCUGCCUGGGCCUUUUCUGACGCUAAGACUCGAAAGCUGGGGGAGCAAACAGG